rnacentral:rRNA from 1 species
UAUGUGAUCGUCUCUCGCAUAUCAAUAAGCGGAGGAAAAGAAACUAACAAGGAUUCCCUUAGUAACGGCGAGUGAAGCGGGAAGAGCUCAAAUUUGAAAUCUUCAAGGUUUUACCUUGACGAAUUGUAGUUUAAAGGAGUGUUUUCUGUUGAAGUUUUGGUAAAAGUUCUUUGGAAUAGGACAUCAUAGAGGGUGAGAAUCCCGUAUUUGACCAUUAUUUUCAGCUGUGUGAUACACUUUCAAAGAGUCGGAUUGUUUGGGAAUGCAGUCCAAAAUGGGUGGUAAAUUCCAUCUAAAGCUAAAUAUUGGCGAGAGACCGAUAGCGAACAAGUACCGUGAGGGAAAGAUGAAAAGAACUUUGAAAAGAGAGUUAAACAGUACGUGAAAUUGUCAAAAGGGAAGCGUUUGACACCAGUGUUGUUUUCUCGAAAAUCAAUUAAAAAGAGUUUGAUUUUGUUGUGUAUUGACCUUAACAGCUUGCAUUUCAAUUUUCUUGCUUUUUUUAAUGCACUUUUCGUUUAACAAGUCAACAUCAGUUUCUUUUGUUGUAAAAAGGUCAUUGGAAGGUGGCUUUCUUUUCGGAGAAAGUGUUUAUAGCCUUUGACUCCUGCAAUCGGAGAGACUGAGGUCUGCAGCGUAGAUCCUUCGGGGUUAGAUACAUUUGUGCUAAGUUAUAGCUUUUUAUAGACAACUUGUUGACUAUGAUUAGUCUUGUAGCUUACUCGCUUAUGCUAUUUUACCUACGCUUAGGAUGUUGAAGAUGUAGCACAUCAU